rnacentral:rRNA from 1 species
GACGAACGCUGGCGGCGUGCCUAAUACAUGCAAGUAGAACGCUGAAGAGAGGAGCUUGCUCUUCUUGGAUGAGUUGCGAACGGGUGAGUAACGCGUAGGUAACCUGCCUUGUAGCGGGGGAUAACUAUUGGAAACGAUAGCUAAUACCGCAUAACAAUGGAUGACACAUGUCAUUUAUUUGAAAGGGGCAAUUGCUCCACUACAAGAUGGACCUGCGUUGUAUUAGCUAGUAGGUGAGGUAACGGCUCACCUAGGCGACGAUACAUAGCCGACCUGAGAGGGUGAUCGGCCACACUGGGACUGAGACACGGCCCAGACUCCUACGGGAGGCAGCAGUAGGGAAUCUUCGGCAAUGGGGGCAACCCUGACCGAGCAACGCCGCGUGAGUGAAGAAGGUUUUCGGAUCGUAAAGCUCUGUUGUAAGUCAAGAACGAGUGUGAGAGUGGAAAGUUCACACU